AUGGUUUUACCCAUGCCUCGGCCAAAUGAGCACCUUGAUCCUGGCAAUGAAAUGAACAUCAAUGAGUCUGGCCAGCUGCACUACCCAAAUGAUGAUUGGGUUGGAGGAAUGAAGGGACUUGCUUGUUACAGCGAUAUGUUGAAAAAGUAGUUCGGUAUUGACUUAUUGAGUGUUUAUGCAUGUUGUAUCAUUUUUCUGUAGCAGACAAACAAUUCCAAUUAUUCCCAGCAAUGCAAGAAAGCUGGUUUAGUCUUCCACUUGGAGAAAAAAAAGAUAGAAGGGGUGAAGGUAUAAAUCCCAUAUA
rnacentral:lncRNA from 1 species